CCCAUUCGGGGUGGAUUAGUGGCGAACGGGUGAGUAACACGUGGGCAAUCUGCCCUUCACUCUGGGACAAGCCCUGGAAACGGGGUCUAAUACCGGAUAAUACUUUCCUCCUCCUGGAGGAAGGUUGAAAGCUCCGGCGGUGAAGGAUGAGCCCGCGGCCUAUCAGCUAGUUGGUGGGGUAAUGGCCUACCAAGGCGACGACGGGUAGCCGGCCUGAGAGGGCGACCGGCCACACUGGGACUGAGACACGGCCCAGACUCCUACGGGAGGCAGCAGUGGGGAAUAUUGCACAAUGGGCGAAAGCCUGAUGCAGCGACGCCGCGUGAGGGAUGACGGCCUUCGGGUUGUAAACCUCUUUCAGCAGGGAAGAAGCGAAAGUGACGGUACCUGCAGAAGAAGCGCCGGCUAACUACGUGCCAGCAGCCGCGGUAAUACGUAGGGCGCAAGCGUUGUCCGGAAUUAUUGGGCGUAAAGAGCUCGUAGGCGGCUUGUCACGUCGGUUGUGAAAGCCCGGGGCUUAACCCCGGGUCUGCAGUCGAUACG
rnacentral:rRNA from 1 species